AUGUUACUCCUUUUCUUCGUUUUACUCAUUACUGAUGAAAAUGCAGAAGCUGCUGAGAGUAUUACAGCAGAUAAACCCAGCUUAACAUCAGAUGAAGGCAGCAACAUCACACUAUCCUGCACAUAUGAAUCAACAUAUAAUCAACUUCACUGGUAUCGACAAAAACCUGGAUCAACACCAGAGUUUCUGCUGCUGACUAAUGAGGGUGCUGUCACCACGGCUGAACCACCUGACCCAAGAAUGUCCAUCAGUUUUAACAAAACGAAUAAGAAAGUAGAACUGGAGAUCAACUCUGCUGCAGUAUCUGACUCUGCUCUGUACUAUUGUGCUCUGCAGCCCACAGUAGCAGGAAAUUCAGCUACACUGUACAAAAACCUCUCAGAGGAGGAGCUAUAA